CAAUUGCGCCGUCCAGAGACGAGUGCCUGGACCGAUUGAUAAGACGCGGUAGAUCGUGAACCAUGAGGUGCGCAUGCGUGACGCCUAAAACUCUUACUAUCUCCAUGGACACCGCCACACCGAGGUAUGAGAUAGAUAACAGAGUCAUUGAGUCAUUCCUACAGGCGGUAUUAUAAUUUACGAUAACGUUUCGCGGUUCCUGAACGACAACACGUCCUUCGGCAGCUAUACAUUUUUCAAACUCGAAAUAGUUAUUUUGUCGUUUUCGCGUUAUUGUUGGAUCAAAUUUUUAUGUAUCGUUUUGUCCAGCAUAGCACACACGUCCCUCGCGAUAUAACAAAUGCGUUUUCUAGAACCUGACAACGACGUACGAUGACCGCAGUAGUCCCCGCCGCUGCCGACACCACUGUCGUUCCCAUCGUCGCCACAGCAGCCUCUAACGGCAAGGGACACAUCUUGCACGAUGGUCCAGCGUAUUCGCUGGCGCUCAACAAAGAGCACACACAUGUUGUAGUUGCCGGCAGAAAUGUUUUUAAGGUAUUUCUCAUCGAACAGGGAGGUUUCAAAGAAUGUGUCAAUUUACGCUGUGGCAAAACAUCAAGUGUCCAGAGUUCGUCGAGCAUGGAUGUUGCUUGGAACCCAGCAGACGACAAUGUUUUGGCGACAGCUACAACAGGUGGUGCAGUAGUUACGUGGAACUUAAACAGAUCAUCAAGGAACAAACAAGACCAUAUUUUUUAUGACCACCGAAGAACUGUAAACAAGGUUACAUUUCAUUGUGUUGAACCCAAUCUGUUGAUGUCAGGCUCUCAAGAUGGUACAAUAAAAUGUUUUGAUUUGAGACUAAAAGAAGCACCUAAAACUUAUUCUAGCGAUUCAGAAAGUAUUAGAGAUGUUCAGUUUAGUCCUCACAACAGUUAUGUAUUUGCUGCUGCUUCAGAAAAUGGCAGUAUUCAAAUAUGGGAUACCAGAAAAGCUGAAAAAUGUUUAAAUAAGUUUUCUGCUCAUAAUGGACCAGUAUUUUCUUGUGAUUGGCAUUCGGAGCUUCAAUUUCUAGCAACUGCUAGUCGCGACAAGACUAUCAAAGUUUGGAAUGUUACAAAUAAACCUAUUGCUGAGUACACAAUUAGCACUAUUGCCCCAGUCGGACGAGUUAAAUGGCGGCCAUAUCGUAGAUAUCAUUUGGCUUCUAGUGCUUUGGUUCUAGACUCUGCCAUUAAUGUUUGGGACGUACGCAGGCCUUAUAUUCCUUAUGCAUCAUUUGCUAAACACACAGAUGUAGCAACUUGUAUUGCUUGGAAAGGAGAUCCUUUUGUACUUUUAUCCACAAAUCGAGAUAGUACUUUGCAUCAAAAUUUUAUAAGUGAAGCUGACUUGCCUUUAGAAAGUGCUAAUCAACAAGGUAUGGCUAUCAAUAGAGAUGGCGAUCUUGUAUUUUGUUGUCCAGUUAAUUUAAACAAAGUAGAAAUUCAAAAGUCUAAAGAAAGUUCUAGAAAGACUUCAACUACGACAAGUGGUGAAGAAGAAUUAAACACAUCAAGUGAGAUGAAUGUGUUUCGUGAUCCAAAAAUUGUGAUGUGUUUAUCUGAUGAAGCAGAAUGUAUUCAAACAUGUGCUAUGCAAUAUAAACUUAUAGGAAGAUCAAUAGGAGAACUCUGUGAACACAAUGCUGGUGUUGCUUCCAGUGUUGGAAGAACAACUGUUUUUUUGCUAUGGAAUGUUCUAAGAAUACUAUAUGAUCACCGUGUGUCUCUUAUUGCUCUCAAAGAAGAUAUUAUGAGCAGCUCAAACAUUGAUAGUAGCUUUGAUGGGGAGAACCAGAUUGGUUCUCUCAGUGACGAAGAUGGUCUCAGGGGAGAUAGACCUUACCAGUUGGGAGAUUUCUAUUUUGGGAAUGCUGAAAUUGAUCCUUUAGAUGCUGAACACGAUCAAUUUGACUUCAUAGGUUUACAGAUGGAUAGCAAAACUGUGGAAGAGGAUAACGAUUGGGAAGUACCUGUAGAAUCAAUAACUUUAAGACAUGAAAUCAUACAUGAGCCAAUUGUGAACGAUCCUUAUAUACCUAACUCAGCACCAUUAGCAAACAAAUUAAAUAAUCGCAUAACUUCUGCACCGCUGUUACGAAUAACUUCUCCUGCUAAAUUUGACAUGUGGAAUCCGUCAGAAAUUGUUGUCAAAGCUCUUCGUCAUCAUGUUGAUGAAGGUGAUGUACAAACAGCAGUGUGCGCAUUAAUUGUUUUAAGUGAUGAAAUCAGAAGUGAAUUAACCAAUCCUAGACAUUCUUGGCGUCUUUUACACGGUGAAAUAGAAUCUUGGUGGUUAAAUUAUCUUGAAUUAUUAAAAAAAUUCAAAUUGUGGUCAUGUGCUACAACGGUUAUCCAACUCUCACGCAUUCGUAGCAUAUUGCAACUGCAUCGAACCUCCACUUCAGUUUAUUUGACUUGUGGAUGGUGUUACAAAGGUUUAACACGAAACAAUCGACGCUGCUAUAAUUGUCAACAUUCUGAAUGUGCUAGGUGUGCAUUAUGUCAAAGGAUUGUACGUGGAAUGUAUGCAUGGUGUAGGGGAUGUGCACAUGGUGGCCACAUUGGACACAUGAAACAAUGGUUUAUGGAAAAUAAGUACUGUCCAACCGGAUGUGGACACAUGUGUGAAUAUUGAUCUCAGUACAAUUUUCUUAGAUUUGACAAAUCUAUCAAAUUAUAUAAUUCACCUGGGUAUUGAAACUGCUCAUAUACAAUCUAAUAUAUUACAUACCUAAACUCCAUAGUUGAUUGGAAACUAUCAUCUUCUGUAAUGGAAAACACGCACAAAAAUCCUUCACCACUGCGAAAAUAAUUGUCACGGAUGGCAGCAUAAUCUUCCUGGCCGGCUGUGUCCAGUAUAUCGAUUUGGACUUCUUCACCAUCCAAGACUACUUUUUUACGGUACGAAUCAGCUUUCGUCGGUUCAUAAUCUUCGACAAACUAUAAUGGGGCGUGUCAACUGAGGUUAUCAUACUUUGAAAUUAAGUUUUAUAUUUAUAUUUUAAUUUGUACAUACCUCGUCAUACAUAAACUGUAGGGUAAGAGCGGAUUUACCAACACCACCGCUACCCACCAUUAUAACUUUAUGCAAAGCUGGCUGCUGUGCAUUGUUUUUCUUCAUGGCUUGUAAUAAAAAUGUGAACUGUUGGUGCUGAAAAAAAAAAAACAAACCAGCUUGUAUUAAAUUGAACUGUAUCUAAAUGCAAUGCGAUUCUGGCGGCAGGUCAAGUGAAAACAUCUUAGGUCACAGCUUUCUCACACAUUACAUUCGAAAACAAUUAUGGGAAAAAAAUAUAUGAGCAAUAUAAUAUAUUAAGAGGAGGUGUCUACAAUCGUUUUCGCCAAAUCGUGUGUUAAUGAUUACGAGGAGGGGGAGGUGUUCGAAUUUUCGAUGGAUAAUUAAUAAACAAUAAUCACCUUAUUAAUGGAAAAAUAAUUAUUUUGAGUAACAGUUUGUGAUUAAUUUUAGUCUUGUACGGAAAUAAUGUUAAUUGAUUUUUGAGAGAUAAAUAUUGUUUACAUUUCAAGUGUCUUAUCAACGUCGAUUGGGGUUGGUUAGUCGUGCUACGGUGCAAAACUAGCAGUGUGACCAUAUUCAGAGAAUAUUUCUCGAUAUCUAAUAAAGUUCGAUAGUAUGUGUCUAAUUAUAAUUUUUAAGUUUUAAAUCUAGGUUCACAGCAUUGCUAUGACGUCUCGUCUGUUCGUCGUAUCGUGUGUAUAAUAAUAUUAUCGUAUUUUGAUUUUUGAUUGGAUGUUGUAAUAAUGGUAUAAUUAAUUGUUAACCCUGAUCUACCAGAAAAUGUCCGGUGUUCGGUUAAGUUCAACUUUCAUAUACGAGUAUACUAUACGACAAAUGAUCUAGCUGUCCAUGAACUCCGCUUAAUAUUAAUAUAUUAUUACUUACUAUUUAUUUGGUGAUUACUGAUUAAAAUAUUAUUUCGGUGUAUACAUGGCACAAGCACACGGCGAUAGCGAUUGAUGAUUGUGAAAGAGUACUGACGGUCGUGAACGUGUACACAAUUCAAAAGUGAUGGAGCGUCAACAGUCCUGUGCAAAUAACCGCUUACUGAUCGCAAUUGUAAGUGUAUCCGCUAUUCAGAAAACCAAAAUAUUUCACUAUGGAUUAUGCCCCGAAGAAUAUACUGAUUGUAAUUUCCAAUGCGUCCUUAAUUGCAUUGAUACAAAUCAAUCGACUCCUGAAGAAUGCAAAAUGCUAUGUACAAAAGGGUGCAUGUCUAGAUGCAUUGCUACAGCUGAACGUGACAUUCGAGAUGGUUUAAAUCAAUUACCUAGCGAUCAUGAAACAGUUAGAAUGAAACGACAGGAUGGAGAUCGGUAUUAUGGACUAAUGGGUCUAAAUCACUGAUUUCCAAAUUGGGGGGCGUAUAUACACAUUGUUGGGGAGGAGCAAGCAGUUAUUACAAAAUACAGUUUUUAUUUAAUUAUUACUAUUAUUAAUAUUUUAUACUAAUUUAUUACUAUAAUAUUUUACCUUAAUUGAUUGUUACAUUUUAUUAUUUACUAUUAUAUAUAUUUCAUAAUUAUUAUCAUCAAUAAAGAAGUUGUCAUUCCGAAUAUUUUAUAGUUUAUUUGUAAUGUACACCAAAAAAGGUGAUACAUUUUUUUCAAUUUAUAGAGGGAGUGCGAGAUUUUUGAAAAUCUACAAAGAGGGGCGUAGAAUAGAAGAGGUUGGAGACCACUGGUCUAAAUCGAAGUAAAAUGUUUUGUUAACAUUCAUACCAAAGAAGAGCUAAAGGGGUUUAAGCGUGCUUAAAGAGUAGCAUAGAAGAUAAUUGUUGGGAAUGUACAGUAGUUGAAUCUAAUUAACUUUUAUUUUAUAGCAUUUGUUUAUUUUUUUAAUUUAUAUAAUAGCAUGUUUAUUAGAUUAUUAAAUAUUACUCGUUUUUCAAUAAUAAAUUCUAAGUGUAAUGCCAUAUUUCAUAUAUUUUUGAUAAUUAUACAGUAUAUAUUGUACAAAAACGAUUUGAAUAUUCAACAUAAGCGGAUAUUGGAGGGAUUUGGGGUCUUAAGCAUCCUCCCCCUAAAAAAGUAAUCAAGCCACACCAGACGGUUAAAGCGUCUAAAAAAAUGUGUUUACUUGGAUGAGAAACAUGUUAAGCUCCUCUUCACGAAUGUGACCAAUUAUCCGCUUAUAAUGUUCAAUACCGUUAUUUAGUGAAUUUUUUUACGGAAAUAUACAUAUAAGUCAAGUUAAAACCGGCAUAAGUUGUCUCUCUCUAAAACAUUAAUCAGACAUUUUUAAUUGUAAACUUGUUACACAAAACUUUUAAAUAAAAAGUAAGAUUUUAAAUUAAGAUGCCUUUUAUAUCGUACAAAACAUUGUUUAAAACAUUUUUGAUAUAAGAUUUAUGGUUAUAUUGCAUUUGUAAAAUAUUUUUAUACAAUACAUAUUACAUAUUAAUAUAUUAUAAUAUACAAUCGAU